GAGGGCACAGCUUAGUGGCAGAGCGCGUGCUUAGCAUGCACAAAGUCCUAGGUUCACUCCCCAGUGCCUCCA
rnacentral:tRNA from 1 species